rnacentral:lncRNA from 1 species
CCUGUUAUCGCCUCGGAAUUAGUUUGGUGGAAUGUGUUCUUCCUUUCAACUGUGUUCCAUGCUGCACCUUGGCAGUUGUAUACUCCAAGCACACCAGUGUAUUUGUUCAUGUUCCAUAUCUUCAAGAGGCUGAAACACAUUAGUAGAUUAGUUAGAUACUAUUCACCCCAUUGCAAUCAAAUCAAAAAGCAGUUCACUGCUCACUUCCAGCCAAAUAAACACCAUACUUAGAACUUCAAAAGAGUAGCGGCGAAGAAUCUAAUUUGCACCUCUUUGUGGUUAAAGUACAAAAUCAUUACACCCUUUUUCUUCUUUUUUUUUUGCAUAUGUAUAUUUGGUUCGAGUCUGAAGCAAUGGAUAUACUAGUUUUGUUUUCACAAAACACAUCAUAAGAUUAGUUAGAUAUAGUUCACGCCAAUGCAAUCAAAUUACAGGCCGUUCACUGGCUAGAAACUUGCCAAACCAAAGAGCCCUUGAGCCAAAACAUCAAUCAAUAGCAUCGAUUUUGAAAAUGAAAUGCUUA